rnacentral:rRNA from 2 species
CAGCAUGUGUACUGCCGUUGUAAGCAUACCUCUAAAAGAAAAGUAUGCCGCUAUGACUAAAUAAACUCAUAUACAUCAGGUCAAAGUGCAGCCAAUAAGAAGGUGAUGAUGGGUUACAACCCCAAAAUAGACUAUCAACUAAGAAAUAAAAAAUCUUACGAAAGUGGACUUGGCCGUAAUCAAUUUACAAGUUAAAAAAAUGAAUAAGAACCUAAGACAUGCACACAUCGCCCGUCACUCUAUCCUAAAGGUUAGAUAAGUCGUAACAAAGUAGGUGUAAUGGAAAUUGCACCUGUCGAAGUAUAGCAUAUAUAAUGCUUUUUACUUACACUAAAAACAAAGUUAAAUUACUUACUUCGCCCACACAAAACAAUCCUUUAAAUAAAUAUAUAAUACAAACAACUAAAUAUAUAAAAUACUAGUAAAGUACAGAAAUGGAAGCAAUAAUAAAUAAUAGUAAUUUUUAACAACUAUACCUCGUGCAUUAUGGUUUUACAAGAAAUAAAUUAAACACCUAAAUCCCGAAUUCUAAAUGAGAUGUCAAACUGCUGUUAAGAACCCAUUAGUAACUGUGGAAAAAGCUUUAAAAGACAGUUUAACAGAGGCUACAUACCAUCCGCAUAAGAAUAUAGCUGGUUUUCAACAAACAUUAUACAUUAAAACAUAUAAUAAAUAUUAUAAUGUUAUAUUAUUGAGGACAAGCCCAAUAACCUAAACAAUAAGACAACAAAUCUAUUUCACUUCAUAGGCUUAAUAUCAGCCAACUAAAAUACUUUACCGUAACAGAAAUUGACAUAAUAUAUAAAUCUACAUGUAAAGAAAAGUUGAAAUGGUAGAUAAACUUCCUUAUCCACCUCUACUAUGUAAAAAUAAGUAUUAAUAACCGUAAAUAUUAAACAACUAGAACUAACAACAGAUUAUACCUAAUAACUAAUUAAGGAACUCGGCAAACCACUAUUUCGACUGUUUAAC